UACGAAGGGCGCGUGUGUUAUUCGUUUUGAUUGGGUGUAAAGGGUACGUAGGCUGCUGUUGUAAUUCUUAACUCAAAACGUGUAGCGUUCCCUAUACGAUUGUUUUUUAAAGAUUCAGCUUGUGGUGAGGAGGGGUUGGGGUAAUUUCUUGUGUAGGGGUAGCAUCCGACCAUAUAAGAACGAACACCAGCUAGCGAAGGCGCCUUUCCGGCCUCACCAGACGCUAAGGUACGGAAGUUUAGGGAGCAAACAGG
rnacentral:rRNA from 1 species